ACGCUCGACACCUACGGGGGCAGCAGUAGGGAAUCUUCCACAAUGGGCGCAAGCCUGAUGGAGCAACACCGCGUGAGUGAAGAAGGGUUUCGGCUCGUAAAGCUCUGUUGUUGGAGAAGAACGUGCGUGAGAGUAACUGUUCACGCAGUGACGGUAUCCAACCAGAAAGUCACGGCUAACUACGUACNCNANCGCGUAGUAUGNGCGGCGNGCGAGAG
rnacentral:rRNA from 1 species